AUAAGAGGUCCCGCCUGCCCUGUGACUGUAAGUUUAACGGCCGCGGUAUUUUGACCGUGCAAAGGUAGCGCAAUCACUUGUCUUUUAAAUGGAGACCUGUAUGAAUGGCAUAACGAGGGCUUAGCUGUCUCCUUUUUCAAGUCAAUGAAAUUGAUCUCCCCGUGCAGAAGCGGGGAUACUUACAUAAGACGAGAAGACCCUAUGAAGCUUUAGACACCAAAGCAGCUCAAGUUAAACACCCCCUCAUAAGGGACUAAACCAUGUGAAUCCUGCCCUAAUGUCUUUGGUUGGGGCGACCGCGGGGGAUAAAAAGCCCCCAUGUGGAAUGAGAUUAAUUCUCUUAAAACUAAGAGCUACCGCUCUAAGAAACAGAACUUCUGACCUAAAGAUCCGGCAAUGCCGAUCAGCGGACCGAGUUACUCUAGGGAUAACAGCGCAAUCCUCUUUUAGAGCCCAUAUCGACAAGGGGGUUUACGACCUCGAUGUUGGAUCAGGACAUCCUAAUGGUGCAGCCGCUAUUAAGGGUUCGUUUGUUCAACGAUUAAUAGUCC
rnacentral:rRNA from 1 species